rnacentral:rRNA from 1 species
AACGAACGCUGGCGGCGCGCCUAAUACAUGCAAGUCGAGCGAGAAGACGUAGCAAUACGUUUGUAAAGCGGCGAACGGGUGAGGAAUACAUGGGUAACCUACCCUCGAGUGGGGAAUAACUAGCCGAAAGGUUAGCUAAUACCGCGUACGCUCCUUGGACUUCGGUUCAGGGAGGAAAGCGAUACCGUGGGUAUCGCGCUCUUGGAUGGGCUCAUGUCCUAUCAGCCUGUUGGUGAGGUAACGGCUCACCAAGGCUUCGACGGGUAGCUGGUCUGAGAGGACGAUCAGCCACACUGGCACUGCGACACGGGCCAGACUCCUACGGGAGGCAGCAGUAAGGAAUAUUGCGCAAUGGGCGAAAGCCUGACGCAGCGACGCCGCGUGGGGGAUGAAGGUCUUCGGAUUGUAAA